CCCGCACAAGCAGCGGAGCGUGUGGUUUAAUUCGAUGAUACACGAAGAACCUUACCAAGGUUUGACAUGCAAGUGGUAGUGAACUGAAAGGGAACGACCCUUCGGGGAGCUUGCACAGGUGCUGCAUGGCUGUCGUCAGCUCGUGUCGUGAGAUGUUCGGUUAAGUCCGCUAACGAGCGCAACCCUCGUCGUGUGUUAUACGUGUCACACGAUACUGCCGGUAUCAAGCCGGAGGAAGGUGGGGAUGAUGUCAAGUCAGCAUGGCCUUUAUAUCCUGGGCUACACACACGCUACAAUGGCAGAUACAAUAGGUCGCGAAACCGCGAGGUGGAGCCAAUCCUCAAAGUCUGUCUCAGUUCAGAUUGUAGGCUGCAACUCGCCUGCAUGAAGUCGGAGUUGCUAGUAAACGCAGGUCAGCUAUACUGCGUUGAAUACGUUCCCGGGGCUU
rnacentral:rRNA from 1 species